rnacentral:rRNA from 1 species
GACCUGGUUGGGCGGUCCGCUUAACGGCGUGUACUGUCUGACUGAGUCUUACUUCUUGGUGAGCCGGCGUGCCCUUUAUUGGUGUGCGUCGGGGAACCAGGACUUUUACCUUGAGAAAAUUAGAGUGUUCAAAGCAGGCCUACGCCUGAAUACGUUAGCAUGGAAUAAUAGAAUAGGACGUGCGGUUCUAUUUUGUUGGUUUCUAGAGUCGCCGUA